GGAGAGGUGGCCGAGUGGCUGAAGGCGCACGCUUGGAAAGCGUGUAUCCUCGUGAGGGGAUCGGGGGUUCGAAUCCCUUCCUCUCCG
rnacentral:tRNA from 1 species